rnacentral:rRNA from 1 species
GAUGAACGCUGGCGGCGUGCCUAAUACAUGCAAGUCGAGCGAACAGACGAGGAGCUUGCUUCUCUGACGUUAGCGGCGGACGGGUGAGUAACACGUGGAUAACCUAUCUAUAAGACUGGGAUAACUUCGGGAAACCGGAGCUAAUACCGGAUAAUAUAUUGAAUCGUAUGGUUCAAUAGUUUAAGACGGUUUUGCUGUCACUUAUAGAUGGUUCCCGGCCGCUUUAGCUAGUUGGUAAGGUAACGGGUUACCAAGGCAGCGACUCGUAGCCGACCUGAGAGGGUGAUCGGCCACACUGGAACUGAGACGCGGUCCUGACUCCUGCGAGAGGCAGCAGUAUGGAACCUUCGGCAGUAGGGGAGAGCUUGACAGAGCAGCCCCACGUGAGUGAUGGAAGUGUUCGGAUCGUAAAAAUCUGUUAUGAGGGGAGAACAAAUGUGUAAGUAGAUGUGCACGUAUUGACGGUACCUAAUCAAAAAGCAACGGCUAACUACGUG